CCUACGGGACGCAGCAGUGAGGAAUAUUUGUCAAUGGACGAGAGUCUGAACCAGCCAAGUAGCGUGAAGGAUGACUGCCCUAUGGGUUGUAAACUUCUUUUAUAUGGGAAUAAAAUGUUCCACGUGUGGGAUUUUGUAUGUACCAUAUGAAUAAGGAUCGGCUAACUCCGUGCCAGCAGCCGCGGUAAUACGGAGGAUCCGAGCGUUAUCCGGAUUUAUUGGGUUUAAAGGGAGCGUAGGUGGAUUGUUAAGUCAGUUGUGAAAGUUUGCGGCUCAACCGUAAAAUUGCAGUUGAAACUGGAAGUCUUGAGUACAGUAGAGGUGGGCGGAAUUCGUGGUGGAGCGGUGAAAUGCUUAGAUAUCACGAAGAACUCCGAUUGCGAAGGCAGCUCACUGGACUGCAACUGACACUGAGGCUCGAAAGUGUGGGUAUCAAACAGGAUUAGAUACCCGUGUAGUC
rnacentral:rRNA from 1 species